rnacentral:tRNA from 1 species
UCCCUUGUGGCUCAGCUGGUAAAGAAUCUGCCUGCAAAGCAGGAGACCUGGGUUCGAUCCCUGGGUUGGGAA